UGGAUCUUACUACCCCAACCCCCCACCCCAGCGCGGCCGCCGGCGACGAAGAAGGCGCUAUGUCUUUAGGGCUCGAGAGAUGUACCAACAAGAUCGCCAGAAAAGUUGAUGCGGAUUCGAUUCCAGCCCAAGUCAUGGAAUCGGUGAAGAAAAUGCUCCCAAACAGACAACAAGAUCGUCAUGAAUCGGGCCAGAGAGGACUCUUCGCCGGCCGCCAUAUCCAGUUCGGCAACAAGACGCCCUCCAAGGACUCAACAAAUCUAGACGGAGCUGGAAGCCCAACGUACAAGAGAAACGCCUAUUUAGCUAUAUCCACGACCGCCAUAUCCGUGUCAAAGUCACCACCCAUGCUCUGAGAUGCAUUGACAAAGCUGGUGGAAUUGAUGAGUACCUUUUGAAGACCCCUUACGAGGAGAUGGACACUGAGUUGGGCUUGCUUUGGAAAGCUAAGAUUGAGAAAAUGUACGCAGAGCUUGGUAAUAUGGAAGUAGGCUUCUUCACCCCGGAAGAGGAAGGGAAUAUCGCAAAGGGUUUCGAAGAGCUCAAGCUCGCUAAGAGGGAGGCUCGUAGAGAAGCCAGAAGAGUUGACUCAAAGAAGCCGAUGAAAGAGUUGAGCACUGGCGAUGAUCAAACUUUAGAAGCAGGGCCGAUUGAGGAAGGAGGUACUGAUGAUUUGAAGAAGGCGGCGCAGUAGACUUACAAUUCUUCUACUAUGGGUUUUCAAGUACGACAUGAGGUCUAUAGUUGAUAUUCAGAGUUUUUAAUGGUGACGAAAUCCUUGUGAAGAGUAUCUAUAACUAGACAGGCCUUUGAUGAGAAGUUCUUUUUGUUGAAUUCAAGUGUCGUAUCUUGUUGAAAGACGAUGCGCCAUUCCCUUGUUUUCCCAGGCCUCUAGUUUUUUAAUUGACACCUUUUUUUUUUUACGAAACGCAAAAAAUAAAGCUUUAAGCUUUGGUUGUGAGCUCUGUAACAUUAUGAGAAUUUGAAUCUUGCUGUUUAUGGUAUUGUUGUCAGUUAAAUCUUGGUAGUCAAUGACCCGGAUGAUAUGCCUAUAUUCAAGGAA